GAAAAUAGUAGCUGCCAAUCACAGUUAACGUUGCUUAGGUCUAUCUAGUAUGGACGAUCACACAGCUCCUAGACCAGGCAAGCGUACCGUGGGUUUCAUUCAGCGUCUGUCCAUUGUUGCUAACAGAACUGAAGAUGUAGUCUCUCAAUAGACUUUGCUUGAACUUAUGUAGUGAUUUGAUAUUUAUUAUGACUUUCGGCCGGCUUUAGUCUUUCCUUUUAUUGGCUCUGCAACCUUCUGUUGUAGUAGCAUGUUCAGUUUGCUUGCGUUUUAGAAGUUUUUUAAAAGUAAAGAAGAGAGAGAGUAUCAAAAAUUGUCACCUCACAAUGGAGAUUUUUCUCCUAUAACCGCUACUAAAGCGGUCAAUGUACGCGUUCAUCAAAGUACGGGUCCAUCAAAGUAUGGGUCCAUCAAUGUACUAGUCCAUCAAUUUACGGGUUCAUGAACGUGUGUCUUUAAGCCGCUGAGACGCCUCUGAAUCGAUGGCAGUCCUAGAAGCUUGGGAUAUGCUGUCUCCUGUCCAUCUGGACGUGUAGAGCUCGACCACCGAGCCUAGAUUCAAAUUGAAGAAACAGCUUUGAGGUAACAACUUUUUCCAAAUCAAACAAACGUCCCAGGAACUCCGGAUGUGGCAGAAUGGGUUCUAGUGACUAUAGACUUUCAAAAAAGGGAGGGGUGAGCCAUUCAAUCAAUUAAAACGUGCGGAAUUAGACUUUUGUUAAAUCGUAAUUUUGAGAUAUUAUUGGGGAUGGAUAGUUUACAAAUUUUAUUAAUUUGGUUUGAGUAAUGGAUUUUCGGUUGUAUGUUUAAAUUGAAAUGUGAGGCCAUAUUUUCUCAGUAAGGAUCCAGCUGGGAAUUUCAGAUUUCUUUAAAUUUAUAUUUUAUAAUCUUCUAGACUACUAAAAGUUGAAUUAGUAUUUAUGAAAUGUUUAAAGGUCCCUUAUUGAUAAAUUGAUGUUUUAAAAUAAUUUUGGUCUUAAAGUUGUAAAGGAUCGAAUAGAAGUUUCAAGGACCCUAGCUUUUCUGAAUUUGUUGAUGACACAUAUUUUUUUAAUAGUUUUCCAAGGUAGAAUUCUGUGAUGUAAUUUUAGGAAUAUUUUGUCUUUGCAGCUUUCAUGAUAUAAAUAUACAGAAUAGAUAUUAAUGGGGAUUAUUAAUAUUUGAUAAUGUUUUGAUAGUGUUUUAAAAGUUUCCAAGUGUGUUCCAAAUGUUCUAAGAAUUUUAUGUUGAUCUUUCUUCUAGAAGAUGUAUUGUUAUUUUAUGAUCAACUUCUGAGGAAUGUCCAUGAUAUAUUCCAAUUCUUCUUUCUGAAAUUAGAGUCCUUAAAGCUUCUCAUGAUUCAAUCUAAAACGUUUUCAAUGUAGAGCAGACAGAGUAGGAUACUAUUGUAUUAGCUAUAUGGGAGAUAACUUUCUGAAUUUAGUGAUUCUAUUUUCGGUUUUCAUGAUGUAACUUCAUUUCGUUUUAUUAAUUGUUGAAUUUAACUGUAAGAGGUGACAAUAUAGUUGAAAUCUUCUCUCUA